AGCACGGAAGGUCGUGGCCGCGGUCUCCAGCUUUCCCCGGAAACUUUUUCCUUUCUCCGGCCCGGGCCCCCUUCCCAUUCCCCGUCCCCGUUCCGGCGUCCGGGUUCCCCGCCAACUGUUGUGGCUGCAGCGCCGCUUCCGCCGAGUGUUACCGAGCGCGGAGCCCGUGGGGGCCCAUGAGGUAAAGAGACAGCUGCGGGGCCGCGCGGGCCUUAGCGCGCCGGGACCCCCAGGCUCCCUUCGUUCCGCUUUGGUCUCGCUCAGGGUGGUCUCGGCCGUCCCUGGUUUCCCGUCACUUCUGCCUCGUCCUCUCGGGAAGGCGCGCCCUGGCGCCAGGACUCUGCCCGCCCGGGCCGAGAGGGGUCCGCCUGAUCCCCCUCCGCCUCUGCGGCUGUGCCCCGUCGGCCGGAGGUGGUCGGGGCCUCGGGGACCGGAGCCCGGCUGCCUCGCCCCGGCUCCUCCAGGCGUCCGCAGCCGGGCUCGGAAGCCCAGGGCGCCUGGGGUGACCUCGCUGCUCGCUCCCCGCUUCGGACUUGCACACCCCCGCAGCGCCGGUGAGGCUCCUGCAGCUCGGACUGCCUUCUCUGCGGGCGGAAUCGUUUUCCCGCCUGGAAGCGUGUGGUCCGCUUGCGCUUCACUAACUAGUGAGACGGCUGCAGAAGAAGGCAGUUAGGUGACCGGGGGAAGUCUAAGCCAGGGCCGUGCGCUUUCUUCACUGUUUGACCCCUUGGGCCUGAGUGAAUGUCACUCAUUUGAUUCGGGAAUCUUCAGGUCCAUUUCGCCCUUGCAUGGAAGCGUGUGUACGGGGAUGUUCGCGGGGUGGGGUGGGCGGGUCAGGGUGCUCCUUUCGCUGCUAGGGAUUUGUAUUAAUGUCUUAAACUUGCCUUAUCAUUUGGUACACUUGUUGAAAAAUACAGCACCCUGGACCAGCAGCAGGAUCAGAAUCCCCAGAGGUGGAGCCUGGGAAUGUGGUGGUGGUUUUUAAACAAGUGUCCCAGGUGGCUCUUAUGCUGAGGCAGGUGCGGGAAAUGUGUUAAUCCGUCCAUACUCAUGUGUCUUCCUCGUGACCAGCAGCCCUUUUGUACACACCGCUGUGAGCAGACGGAGGAACAACGCAGAGGGAGUGAGAGCUGACCUCUUGCUGGUGUAAGCACAUCUGAGCAUGACCAGCCCCAGUAUUAAGGUGGUUUAGCAGAAAUUAUUCUUCUCAGCAGAGAAUAUCAUACAUUUGAUUUUGUUAAAUGUAAUUCCGUUUAAACUAGGUAACGGUGUCUUGUUUCUUUGUCUUUGACAUCUUCAUUUUCUUCUCUCCCAGCUUUACCUCCUUUGCAAUCAAGCUUUGCUUUGGUUUUGCUGCCACACCUACUGAACAGACUCUGGUGCCUUCCUUUCCUUGGGUGUUUGCAGCCACUUUAAUUCUUUCCCCCCCAACCCCCCCAUCACUUCGCUCACUCUUUUGAAGGUCAUGAUGAGUACAAGGUCAGAAAUCCUUUUCUUGGUUCUUAUCACCCUGGGCUUUAAGCAUUGUGUAUUCCAUCUUGAAACUCAUCUGUUAGUAUGUUUCUUCUGCCUGCUGAGGGUGUGCCUUGUGGUUCUGUCCUCACAGCCAGUUUCUUUAUUCAUCUGGUCUUAUUUUAAAGACAGCGUGGAGUAAUGGUUAAAUGACAAACUCUAGUGCUGGGCUGGCAGGGUUUGUGUCCUGGUUCUGCCUUUAACCAGUAUCAUAAGACUUCCCUUCUCUGUGCCUCAGUUUUCUCAAGUGGAGAAUAGAAAUUAUGAUAUCUACCUUACAGGGCUGUGAGGAUUAAAUCGGUUGUACACAUAAAGUAGCAUCUGGCACGUUGUAACUACCUAUCAAUAGUACCUUUUUCUUUUUGAAAAUUCUUUCAGGUUAUCUAGAUAUCCCCUCAAAUCGGGGAGCCCUGCCUUGGAUCUCAGAAUUGUCAUUGAAUGUUUUUCCAUCUGCUUUGUUCUGUCUUCUCAUUCAUUCAUUAACUUAUUAUUUCCUGUUUCAUAUUCCUACACUGAAUGUUGGGAAAACCACGAUCAAGUUAUUGGUCCUUGUUUCAGAGAGCUGCUUUAUAAUGGGGACUGAAAACUCCCACUUCCUGGGUGUUUCUUAGGUAUCAACUGCCCUGUUUUUCCUGCAUUGUCUGAUUUAGUCUUUGUAGUCGAAAUGGGAGGUAUUUUCCUAGCCCUUGUUUUCGAUGAGGAGCCUGAAGCACAGGUUGAAUAACUUGCUCAAAGUCCCACAGCUAAUGAGCGGUAGGGGAGAUUUUCAAACCCAGAUCUGUCUGCCUCUCAAGGCCGUGUUCUCAAGUGGGUUGCCGCGUUGCUUCCGUGGGUGGCAAACAGGCCGUUAACCCAGAGUGGUAAGCUCUGUGCUGGGAGGACUGCAGGAUGUUAUGGGAGAACGAGGACGAGUCGCCUAACGUGGUGUUGGGGACGAGGGGGUGGGAGAGGCUGUCGCCUAGGCAGGCUGAGAGCUGAGGGGAUUAUCUCUAUUUGGGGAGAGGGCUGGCAGGACCUAUGCCAGUUAGAAGGAGCAGUAUGCACAGAUGCUGGAGGUGAAAGGAAGAGUUCAUGCCCGACACGUGUGAGGAGUUACACGUCCAGGCAUAUCUCGGAGAUGUUGCGGGUUCGGUUCCAGACCACUGCAGUAAAGCCAGUCACACUAGUGUGUUGGUUUUCCAGUGCACAUGAAAUUUAUGUUUCCACUAUACUGUAGUCUGUUAAGUGUGCAAUAGCAUUGUGUCAAAAAAAAAACACCUCAAUUACAAAAGACUUUAUUGGUAAAAAAUGCUAACCAUUAUGUGAGCCUUCAGUGAGUUGCAGUCUUUUUGCUGGUGGAGGGUCUUGCCUCCAUGUUGAUGGCUGCUGACUGAUGAGGGUGGUGCUUGCUGAAGGGCUGGGGAGGCUGUGGCAGUUUCUUAAAGUAAGGUGACAGUGAAGUUUGCCUCAUCGAUUGACCCUUCCUUUCACGUCAGUUUCUCUGUAGCCCGCGAUGCUGUUUGAUAGCAUUUUCAAACUUAGACUCAAUCCUCUCCAACCUUGCUGCUUCUUUAUCAGCUAUUUAUGUCAUAUUCUAAAUCCUUUGUUGUCAUUUCAACAGUCCUUGCAGCAUCUUGGCCAGGAGGAGAUUCCAUCUCAAGAAACUACUUUCUUUUCUCAUCCAUAGGAAGCAGCUCCUCGUCCGUUACGGUUUUAUCAUGAGAUGGCAGCAGUUCAGUCACAUCUUCAGGCUCCAGUUCUAAUUCUAGUUCUCGUGCUCUUUCCGCCACGUCUGCAGUUACUUCCUCCAGUGAAGUCUUGACCCCCUCAAAGUUGUUUGUGAGCGUUGGAAUCAGCUUCUUCCAAACUCUUGUUAACAUUGAUAUUUUGCCCUCUUCCUGUGAGUCACGAAUGUUCUGAAUGGCAUUGAGAAGGGUGAGUCCUUUUCAGAAGGUUAAUUUACUUUGCCCAGAUCCGUCAGAGGAGUCACUAUUUAUGGCAGAUAUAGCCUUACAAAAUGUGUCUUAAAAAGACUUGAAGUCAAAAUUACCCCUUGAUCCGUGUGCUACAGAAUGGAUGUUGUGUUAGCAGGCAUGAAAACAACAUUAAUCUCAUUGUACACCUCCAUCAGAGCUCUUGGGUGACCAGGUGCAUUGUCAAUGAGCAGUAAUACUUUGAAAGGAAUCUUUUUUUCUGAGUAGUAGGUCUCAGCAGCGGGCUUAGAAUCUUUAGCAAACCAUGUUGUAAACAGAUGUGCUGUUAUCCAGGCUUUGUUCCGUGUAUACAGCACAGGCAGAGUAGAUGUAGCAUAAUUCUUAAGGGCUCUAGGAUUUUCAAAAUGGUAAAUGAGAAUUGACUUCAACUUAAAGUCAUCAGCUGCAUUAGCCCCUAACGAGAGAGUGAGCCAGGCACUGACUUCUCCUCUGUAGCUGUGAAAGUCCUAGAUGGAAUCUUCUUCAGUGUACGGCUGUUUCAUCUGCAUUGAAAAUCUGUUGUUUAGUGUGGCCUCCUCCAUUAAUUAUCUUAGCUGGAUCUUCUGGAUAACUCGUUGCAGCUUCUCCACCAGCACCCGCUCCUUCACCUGCACGUCUGUGUCGGGAGACGGCUUCUUUCCUCAGACCUCAUAACCAUCCUCUGCCAGCUUCAAACUUUUCUGCAGCUUCCUCACCUCUCUCAGCCUUCACAGAACUGAAGAGAGUUAGGGCCUUGCUCUGGAUUAGACUCUGGCUUAAGGGAAUGUUGUGGCUGGUUUGAUCUUCUAUCCAGACCACUCAGACUUUCUCCAGAUCAGCAACAGGGCUGUUUCACUUUCUUGUCAUUCGUGUGUUCACUGGAGUAGCACUUCUAAUUUCCUUCAAGAACUUUUCCUUUGCAUUCACAAGUUAGCUGUUUGGUGCAAGAGGCCUAGCUUUUGGCCUGUCUCAGCUUUCAACAUGUCUUUCUCCCUGAACUUAAUCAUUUCUAGCAUUUGAUUUAAAGUGAGAGGUGUGUGACUCUUCCUUUCAUUUGGCCAUUAUAGGGUUAUUAAUUGGGCUAAUUUUAGUAUUGCUGUGUCUUAGAGAAUAGGGAGGCCCAAGGGAGAGAGACGGGGGAAUGACAGAGCAGUGGAGCAGUCAGAACGCACACAACGUUUAUCAAUUAACUUCGCCAUCUUAUAUGGGUGUGGUUUGUGGCAUCCCAAAAUAAUUACAAUGGUAACAUCAAAGAUCACUGAUCGCAGAUCACCAUAACAAAUAUAGUUAUGAAAAACUCGGAAAUAUGGUGAAAAUUAGCAAAAUGUGACAGACACAAAGUGACCAAAUACUUUGGGAAAAACGGCACCGAUAGACUUGCUUGAUGCAGGGUUGUCACAGACCUUCAGUUUGUAAAAAAUGCAAUAUCUGAGAAGCACAAUAAAGCAAAGCGUAAUAAAACGAGGUAUGCCUGUAUGUCUGAUGCUUUCAAAAGAAAUUAAGGAAAUAUUUAAAUUGUCCUCACUCUAAUUCCUUGUUAAGAGAUACCUGAUUGAUUCAGCCUUUUCUUCAUAACAACUAAGAGUAAUUGCAUUCAGGAGGAUUGUCAUUGCCCCAAGUGUAAGAAUGGUUAUAUCAGGUGUGUUGAUUGCAGACAGCAGGUGUCACCUCUGGCUAACUUGGGCAAAAAGGAGUUUGAUGGAAGACUGUUGGGGGCCUUUAGAGUUGGCAGGAGGCCGCCAGCUGGAGGCAGCAUGGAGGCCAGGAUGUGGGGACCCCUCGAGUAGCCGGCAGUUCCUCAGCUGGAACACGGGUCUGGGAUGGCCUGGCCAGGACGCUGCUGCUCCUGAUGAGUGACCUCCAGCCAUUCACCUGCUUGCUCAAGACCCAGUAUUCCAGGAGGGUCUGAUUGGCUGAGCUCAGGUCACGUGCCCACUGGCUGUACUGGGGAAGGACGGGGAGGGGCCAGUCUUCUGGGGGCUCAUGUUGUGAGUAGCCUUCACCAAGGGUCACACUCCCACCAAAGCUAGGAGGAGAAAGGUCAAAUUGCCUAAAAAGGCAAAGAACAGAGACGCAUUCUAGGCUGCAUCCUUGCCCCCAAAAGAUAUUUUAGCAAGGCUAUCUUUCACUUUUAUUGUAGGAGCGAUUUUAUGUACAUUAGAAUCUCAUUUGAUCCUCACAAAACUGCGAGCUGAGACUGUCUGGAUAGGGAACGGAACCUUCGUGUUAGUGCAUCCGGUGUGCUUUAGAUUUUCCGCAGACGCUCAGAGGAAUCUAAUCGACUUGCUCAAGAAUAGCCAGUGGCAGUCCCUGGACUCAUCACAGUUCUUCUAACUUAGAAUCUAGUGGGCUUGCCUCUUUGCCACCCUAUAUUUGGCCUGGACUGUCUCAUUUUGGGCUGACUUUUCUUACAGGUUACUUAAGGACAGGCUCGAUCUUUCUGGCCCAAACUCAGGAUCGGCUGAUCUCUCUGAAGCGCAUCAACUCAAGGCUGAAUGUUAUAGGCAUCCCUUCUGAGAUCAUCUCUCCUCAAAAUAAUGGCUGGAAAGUCAGUCUCACUUAGACCUAGCUUGCUGGGCUUCCUCCUUUCUAGAAUUACUUGUUAACAUGGUAUGUAAUAUUUUUAAUCUGGUACGUUAAUAAGAAGGCUCAUAUAACUUGAGAGCUGUCUCCUUCAAAGUAAUCACCAGAGGAGGCUCUCCUCAAAUUCCAGAAACAUCUUUGUGCAGUACGUUUUUUGGAACUCCUCUUUUGGUGUUAGCCACGGAGCCUGUGGGAUGUUUUCUUAUACUCUUUCAGCCAUAACAGAUGUUGUUAUUUGUAAAACUGGAAAUAACAGGAGUUGGUUUGGAAGAAAAGAUGAUGCGAUUGUCAUAGACACAUUAGCCUUCCUAAAGAUUCCUGGAUGUAGUUCAAAAAAUAGUUGGGUAGACAGAAUAAAGUCCAAUGACUAA